UCCGGCCAAGGGAAAAGUUCCUGAACAAGGAAGGCCUGUUGCAAGGGGCACCUCCAUUCGUACUUAGGCAGAGAACUAGCUGGCAGCUUCUUGUACCCCCGAACCCUAAUGUAAACUCCUCCUUCCCAGGUCCUCUGCUAUGAUGCGGCUUCCCAUUCCAUCCUCGCCAACUGCCCAGUGCAGGAGGAGCUGUUGCAAGGAGUGCCUGGAAUGAUUCUCUGAAGAAACUGGCCAAGCUGGCUUGGAACCACCAGCCAAAAGAACUCCGUGUGAAUGGAGGCCCCAAGGAGGCAG
rnacentral:lncRNA from 1 species